rnacentral:sRNA from 1 species
CAUGUAGGACGCAGAUAAAUGCAGGUGCAGGAAGUCACGUGUCCGUUCUAUUUGAUGUGUUUUUCCUUCUUCCGGUGUGACGUCACCUUGAGACCUACUUUGUGCUAACAUACAUCCCCAGACGACUUCACUUCCAUUUGCUGAGUUCUCCACGCGCUUUAUUUUGUAACUUCAAUUUAUUUAUUUUUUUGUGUUGAAAACUAAUUAGCUAUAUUUUAAUUCAUGCUUACGUAUCACAUUUUAAUUUCAUACCAAACAUCAUGUCGCUGCAAAUGUUCCCUCCCCAACCCAACCCUUAUCUAAUGCCCAAGCUUUUAAGUGAGUUAGUUUGACGCUGUUGUUUUCACGCACGUUGCCCAAAUGAUACAGCUCUGGAAGUCGGAUCAUUUCGUUUUAUGCCCCAAGUGCAGCGGUGGAGGCAAAGUAAUAAUGUUUACUUAGAAAUACUCUUCAUUCAUUGGGAUCAUUUUUAAACAAAGAAAUCAAAACGAAGCUAAGUCCGGUUUCCGUUUCUUCGUGUUAUUUAAUAUAAAAAUGUAAACCUUUAUGAGAAAUGGAGUUCUCUGGGUUUUAAAGAUUGAUUGAAAGUCUAAAUAUGUAGAACUAUUCGAUAUAUUUUUAAUUUGUUAUGCGAAACGCUUUCAGAUACUUAACUUCCUAAAUUACAUUAAUUCGGUGCUAUAUUUCUAGGUGCUGAGAGGUGCCUAGUGUAUGUUUGUUUUGUUUUUUUUUUUGUUGUUUUUUUCUGAUACGCCAAAAUGCAUGUCACAAUUAACUCAGCCCAAUCAAACGUUUAAUUCUAAAGUGCAACAAAACAAACAAUUACAGAUAAACCAGAAUGAGCCACAACAGCGCUAAUGAAUAAUGUACACUGUUGUCUGUGGUUUAAUCAAGAAUUUCGAUGGUCGUUGGAAAGGGAAAUAACUUAUUGUCGAAACACUUUAUUGUACAAGAUGUAUUUGUACACGAGUUCUAAAAGAAACUGAAAUAAAAGUUUGAUCAUUAAAAUGUUUAUGAUACUUCGCGAGAUCUCCCUCCUAGAAACAGUCACUGAAAAUGAAAGAAGAAAAACAAAUAGAAAUAAAGGACACGUUUCGUUUCUCUAAA